UGGGGGAUCGUCUAAUGGUAGGACAGAGGCCUUUGAAGCCUUCAAUCGGGGUUCGAAUCCCUGUCCCCCAG
rnacentral:tRNA from 1 species